CGGAAGGAUCAUUAUUGAAAUUAUAGGCAAAGGUUGUAGCUGGCCUCUCGGGGCAUGUGCACGCCUGAGCCCCUUAAUCCACACACACCUGUGAACCAAUUGUAAGGGCCCCCUGAAAAGGGCCUUUACGUCUUAUYCAUCAACCCAUUGCAUGUCUCAGAAUGUAAACAUAUGYCCUCGCCUUAAAAAGCGUUGAUAAACUUAUACAACUUUCAACAACGGAUCUCUUGGCUCUCGCAUCGAUGAAGAACGCAGCGAAAUGCGAUAAGUAAUGUGAAUUGCAGAUUUUCAGUGAAUCAUCGAAUCUUUGAACGCACCUUGCGCUCCUUGGUAUYCCGAGGAGCAUGCCUGUUUGAGUGUCAUUAAAUUCUCAACUCCGAUCGAUUUGUUUCGACCUCGGAGCUUGGACUUUGGAGUGUGCUGGCGUCGGUCGGCUCCUCUCAAAUGCAUCAGCGGAAUCUAACGUUUCGGACGUCAGUGUGAUAAUCACGUUGCGCUGUCAACCGAUCCUGAAAGGCCYGCUCAUAAUGGUCUUCGGACAACUUCAUAUCAAAUUUGACCUCAAAUCAGGUAGGACUACCCGCUGAACUUAAGCAUAUCAAUAAGCGGAGGA
rnacentral:rRNA from 1 species